rnacentral:ncRNA from 1 species
GGGGAGUAUGCUUUUUUUUUAGUUGUUUAUUAAAAUAUUAUUGUAUAUAAAGUUUUAUUUUAACUUAAAAUAUAGAAGAAUAAAUUUAUUUAAUAUAUAAAUAUUUGUAUAAAUAAUUAAUAUUUAAAAAAUUAUAUUAAUUAGUAGUUAAUAAGAUUUUAUAUUAAAGAAAUUUAGAUAAAGAAUUUUAUUUUAGUAUUAACAAAAUUUAUGCCAGCAGUAGCGGUUAUAUAAAUAAUACAAUUUAUAAGUAUAAAUUUUAAUUAUAAAAUAUUAUUUUAAAUUAAAUUUAAAUUUAUUAAGUGGAAUUUUAAAUUUAUAAGAUUUUAUUAAAAAUUUUUUGAAGUUAAUAAAUUUUAUUAUAGACUAGGAUUAGAUACCCUAUUAUUAAAAUGUAAAGUAUAAAGUUAGAUUAUUAAUAGUUAUGUUCUUGAAAAUUAAAAAAUUUGGCGGUAUUUUAGUCUAUUCAGAGGAACCUGUCCUAUAAUUGAUAGUCCACGAUUUGUUUAACUUAUUUUUAGUUUAUAUAUCGUCGUAGUUGAAUGUUUUAAAAGAAAUUAAAUGUUCAUAAUUUAGUAUAUUAAAGUACAUCAGAUCAAGGUAUAGCAUAUAAAUAAGAAGAGAUGGGUUACAAUAAAAAAAUUUAAAUGGUAAAUAUUUUUUAAUAAAUAUUUUAAAGUGGAUUUGAAAGUAAUAUUAUUAAAAUAAAUUAUAUGAUUUUAGCUCUAAAAUAUGUACAUAUCGCCCGUCACUCUCAUAUAAAAUGAGAUAAGUCGUAACAAAGUAGGUGUACUGGAAAGUGUAUCUAGUUAGAC